UCUUAGAGUUUUGCUAAAGUCUCUCUAGGGGGGCUCUGACUGGAACACGCCUUUGGGUAGCAUGGGAACAGGCAGGCUUGGUCUGGGAAAGGGAGCAGGCUGUUCAUUUCUGUUGCACAAUCCAAUUAGCUCCGAGUUCCACCGAUAAGAAACAGCACCAGAUCACUACAGAAGCUUUGUGUGAGAAGUCGUGCGUCUAAUAGCUGGCUGGUAAACAAUCGGCAGCAUCUUCAACAGGUUCCGCUUUCACCAGGGAUCUACGACAGCUGGUUAACAACAGAGAUCAUGCUGACUGCUUACCUGCUGGCAAUCUUCUUCAUCUGCGCAGGAAUCACAGCAGAAGCUGUCCGUCCACCAUGCAACGAGGACCUGUUUGACAUCAAUGUUGACAACUGCCUGUUGGAUUUCAACAAAAGCAUGGAGACAAGUGACUAUCAGAACAUGUGCCCGUGGCCUAUGGUUCAAAGCAACUACAACAAAUUGAUGACAUGUGUGGAAGACUGGGCUAAGAAAACUCGGUGUUGGGGUUAUGGAUUUUUGGUAGAUGAG